AAGUCGUAACAAGGUUUCCUUUCGUUAAAGAACUGCCGAAGCCUAACGCAGCGACUAUAAAGAAAUGUGGAGUCCCUCUGAGGGGAUGAUGCCGCCGAAAUGCUGGAAUAAAGGGAUUUGUUCUUUUACCAGCAGCCACGCUCCGUGGCCCACAGAUCAAUGAGCGGUGGUUCCUUCACAGGAACGACGAUAUGACCGGUCUUUGCUUAUAUAGCUAAGAGUAGACGUUCCGUAGGUGAACCUGCGGAAGGAUCAUUA
rnacentral:rRNA from 1 species